UACGAAGGGAGCUAGCGUUGUUCGGAAUCACUGGGCGUAAAGGGUGCGUAGGUGGUGAGGUAAGUCGGAUGUGAAAUCUCCAAGCUCAACUUGGAAACUGCAUUGGAAACUACCUUGCUAGAGGAUUUGAGGGGGGAUUGGAAUACUUGGUGUGAGCAGUGAAAUGCGUAGAUAUCAAGUGGAACACCAGUGGCGAAGGCGAAUCCCUGGAAAAUACCUGACACUGAGGCACGAAAGCUAGGGGAGCAAACAGG
rnacentral:rRNA from 1 species